rnacentral:lncRNA from 1 species
UCAUCUAUAACAAAACUUUGGUUUGUUGUUGAGCCAUGUUCAAAUCUUUUUGGCCUUAUGUUUACAACAUGAGUCUCUUGCUUUGUUCCAAAUUUCCAAUGAAGCAUGUAGGCUUGGCCUGAGGUAACAGUUUUUUUCUUCACAUAGGGUUUCUUUUCUUUCUUUCUUUCAUUCUUUCUUUGUUGAGAAGCUCCUCAUUGUCAAGUCCUGAUCAAUCCCUCAUUUUGCCAAGACUCCAAGACUUGUUAAGAAAGAAAACAGAGCUCAGAAGAAAUUAACUCAAAAUCUCACAUCACAUUGUUGAUAAUAUCAAGUGUUUUUUUUUUUUUUUUCAUUGAAAUGAUGAAUUUCAAAUGUUUACAACACCCAUCAAUGUGUGGGGGAGAAGUUCAUGAUUAACAAAGAAAAAUAAUGAGACUUUGAUGGAAGGUAAUGACUGAAACCAAUCUGCUUCUUCAGCUGUAACAAGGGAACAUAUCCAAAGAAGAUGAAUAAGAACCAACCUAAGCUUCCCAACCCCUUAGCGUCGUGGCACAAGCAACUCGCUUCACAUUGAAUGUGAACCCACUCAAAAUAGUUCACGGUCACACCUCCAGCAUUAGCAUAGAUGUCGGGGAGGAUUACAACUCCCUUCUUGGAUAGAAUCUGCAAAGAUAAUAUAUUGUCAAUGCAAACUUCCUUCCUCUAUGGCAAUUAAGUAUGCACCAUGCACAAACACUAUGUUACCUCAUUAGCUUCCGGAUGAUGAUUUGCUGCUUCUAUUAUGAACUUUGCCUUAACAUCCNNNNNNNNNNNNNNNNNNNNNNNNNNNNNNNNNNNNNNNNNNNNNNNNNNNNNNNNNNNNNNNNNNNNNNNNNNNNNNNNNNNNNNNNNNNNNNNNNNNNCCCUCAUUUUGCCAAGACUCCAAGACUUGUUAAGAAAGAAAACAGAGCUCAGAAGAAAUUAACUCAAAAUCUCACAUCACAUUGUUGAUAAUAUCAAGUGUUUUUUUUUUUUUUUUCAUUGAAAUGAUGAAUUUCAAAUGUUUACAACACCCAUCAAUGUGUGGGGGAGAAGUUCAUGAUUAACAAAGAAAAAUAAUGAGACUUUGAUGGAAGGUAAUGACUGAAACCAAUCUGCUUCUUCAGCUGUAACAAGGGAACAUAUCCAAAGAAGAUGAAUAAGAACCAACCUAAGCUUCCCAACCCCUUAGCGUCGUGGCACAAGCAACUCGCUUCACUGCCAAUGUGAAGGCUCCCAUUCGAAGACUGCAGUUGUGCGAUUGACACAUUUCCUUAAUGUUAUGAAAGCUUUGGUCAUAUACUUCUGAAGCUCAUUAUUCACCUUCUCUUCUUCCCACAUAAAACCUUGAAUAUUCUGCCAAUGUGACAUCUUAGGAUUAAUGGUUUUACGUUGGCAGAAUAUUCAAGGUUUUAUGUGGGAAGAAGAGAAGGUGAAUAAUGGGCUUGAGAAGUACAUGACCAAAGCUUUUCAUAACAUUAAGGCAAUGUGUCAAUCGCACAACUGCAGUCUUCGAAUGGGAGCCUUCACAUUGGCAGUGAACCCACUCAAAAUAGUUCACGGUCACACCUCCAGCAUUAGCAUAGAUGUCGGGGAGGAUUACAACUCCCUUCUUGGAUAGAAUCUGCAGAGAUAAUAUAUUGUCAAUGCAAACUUCCUUCCUCUAUGGCAAUUAAGUAUGCACCAUGCACAAACACUAUGUUACCUCAUUAGCUUCCGGAUGAUGAUUUGCUGCUUCUAUUAUGAACUUUGCCUUAACAUCCGCAGCAUUUUCUCUUCAGAGGGGAAAAAACAUGAAUGAGGUUAGAUGAAAUCAUCUGGAUGAGUUAGGUUAAAGGAAGUAAAAUCAUGCCUUUUUCCACUUUUUACCAUCAAAAGAUUUGUGUGGUUUCUAACCUGAAAAACGAUUGGAUAUUCACUUAAUAACUAAAUACAGCACAAGCACAUUUCAUGAAACUUCUGCCAACAAUUAAAGGGUAACAGAACACAUGUAACAUCUUUACCUAAAAAUUGGCAAUUCAUCGUAUGGCAAUUUGAUACAAUUGCAGCAUUCUGAUUCGAUCUUUCAGAUUCAACAUAGUAUCUCAAACAGAGUUGCAUCAUGUUUCUUCAUGGUAUUGAGAUGUGUCUACUUCAUUUUAUGUGUAUGUUCAUUGUUUUUAUGAUCUUAAUGUAUGGAAAAGACAAGUUUCUCAAUUCAAAAAAGGCCCAUGUCAAAAGAAACCCAAAACAAAAAAGGCACCGUAAAGAAGAAACUGAAAGGCAAGGAGCAAGUUUCUGAUGAAAACAAGGACUCAACUUGCUAAGAACUCCACCUAGAGCACAUGGGAUGAGAACAUCACAUUCAUGUGUGAGCAGUUCAUUCGGAUCCAUGUGAUCUCCGCCACUGAAAUUCGUUAGACAACCAGUCUCUUCUUUGUGCCUAAGCAAAUCCACUAUAUCAAGCCCAUUUUGGUUCUUAACAGCUCCAGUGACAUCACUCACCGCUAUGAUUUUACCACCUCUCUCAUGGAUGAGUCUUGCUACCCAAGAUCCAACAUUGCCAAAAUCCUGAAAAGUUUUUUUAUUUUCCAUUUAAAUAACCGAACUUUCUAACUACGCCAAGAACAGAAAUAGAAAGGAUUUAAUCCAAUAUUUUACCUGAAUAACAAAUGUCAAACCCUUAAUUGACUUCCCAUGUUGUGCAAGUAAAGCUUCAGUUGCGAAAACAACACCUUGACCAGUUGCAGCCUCCCUACCGAGGGAUCCACCAAGAUCCUAAAAGCCCAAAUGUAAAUGAGGCCACAGAACAAGAAACAACAGUUACAAAUUCGUUUCUCGACUUCAAAGGUUUACAUAAAUCUAAAUCAUAGAUGCUCAGUUUUUUGUCGCAAAUACUUACUAUUGCCUUUCCAGUCACUAUUUAUAAAUAUUUCCGUUCCAUGAAUGAGAGAAUAUUUCAAGAGUGUUACAGACAAAAGAUAACCUGAGCAUUAGUUCCCAUGUCUGGUGCAGGUAUAUCGGUAUGAGUUCCAAUAAGAUCAUGAAUCUUUUGAGUAAAGACACGAGUAAGACGUUCCAACUCGCUCAUACUCAAGUCCCUUGGGGUGCACCCAAUGCCACCCUUUGCACCACCAUAGGGAAUGUCAACUACAGCGGUCUUCCACGUCAUCAAUUGAGCCAGCGCAUUUACCUCAUCAGGAUCCACCUUUGAAAACAAAUGAAGAAACGUAUCAGUAAAACUAAAUGCAACCAGGUUUUUAUUUGCAAGAAAUCAAAGCAAACAAGUUUGAAGAUGAAAUAAUUCCUUCUAACUCAGCACCAACAAAAUUACGGGCGAACAACUUCUUGAAAGGAAAACAAAACAACUCAUUGAAUUUGAUUAUGCAAAUUGAGAACACACAAAUUAACAUAACAUCCAAAAUAGAAUUCAUCAUGCCACUCAUCAUUUAAAAUUCUAUAUCAAUAUCCAUAUCAUCCCAAAAAGAUUUUCGACUGUAUAAUAAUUAUCAGUUUUAUCGCAUAUUUCGGUUGGACCAUGUUUGCCAAAAUCAUUGAAAACAAUUUCCAAGAUUCAAAAAAAAAAAAAAAAAAUGCACAACCAACAUUUUGAUAUAGAAAUCUUGAACCUGAGAUUUCGAGAUAAUGAUCUUUGUACAAGAUACAAUAAGGGCAUGUUUGGAUCCAUCAUGAAAUGAAAUCAUUCCACUAUUCUUGCAUUUGAACAACUCCCUUUCCAUGGGACACCCAAAAACCACUUAGACAAAACCCAAAUCAACCGGAAAUUCCAAGAACCUAAAAGCAAACCCCCUAAACUCCGUUUGCUUGCCGAGAAAAUAGGGGGAAAAGACAAGAAAAAACAAACUACAAUCCUACAAUCCCGAAUCUCAUGUUCUGUGCUCCAAGAAAUUACAAAGUCAAGUAAGCCCCACAACAUACCUAGACUCUACUACCCUAACAAAAACAAAAAAUUUCAAAUCUCUCCUUUUCAUUCUCAACUUUUCUCAGCAAUCAAACAGGACAAAAUCCGAAAACAAACAAAAGAAUCAGUGAAUCACAAACCUAAGGGUGAUAUCUGAUCCCUCCCUUCAUGGGCCCACGAGCAUUAUCAUGCUGCACACGGAACCCCACAUACGUUGCCAAACUUCCAUCAUCCUUCGGGAUCGCGCACUCCACCUAACAACACCACCACCAAAAGAUCAAAAUUCUGGAAAAAAUUCUCAGGAAACAAACACAACCCAUGAACUCAAAAACAAGAUUCUGGCUAAAGAAAAUAAAUAAAUAAAUAAAUAAUUCCCGGGAAUCAAACAGAACCCAUGAACAAAAACCCCAGAAUUCCAACCUUGAUCUCUCUGAAAGAUAUCAGAAGACUCUUCUCCAGCUUGGAGUCCAACCCAAGAAUGCGGGAAGCAUGGCGAAAAUUGCGGUUAGUGGCUGCUAGAGCAUUCAUUGCCACAAAAACAAAACCCAGAAUAGAAAACGAUUGCUAGAAAAAGAAACAGACCCAGAAAAAAAAAAAAAAGAAAUGCAAGAAAAUGAAAGAAAAAAUUGGAGAAUUGAAGAGUAGAAAGAGAUUACAAUAGAAAUGUGAAUGAACUGACUGAUUGAUAGAAGUAGAGAGCAAGAGGGAGGGACCGGAGGAGGGCAGUUAAGGCGCUCAAGAUGGCAUGUCGGGCAGUUAAGGCGCUCCAGAUGGCAUGUUCAGGUUGUUACAAUCCCCUCUCGAUUAUGCAGAGCUGACUACACGUGCCCUUCCCGCUACCCAAAAUUACUAAAACACCCUUUUCCUUCCCAAACCUAUUUUCUAAUUUCUCUUUUCUAUUUUAAAAAUUAGAAGCUAAAAUGGAAAAUAAUCCUCACUUUAAAAAAUACCUUCAAUUUUUUUAAUUAUAAAUAUAAUAUUAAUUAAUUAUAAAAAAAUUAAUUUUUCAUUUAAAAAAGUGUCUUAAUAUAAAAAAAUAGAGGAUAUUUUAAGCCUCUAUAAAAUAUAUCUUAAUUUAAUUUUAAAUGGACAACAAACCCUUUUUAUUUUAUUUUAUAAAAUAAUGCUCUAUGAAAUAAAUGUGAAUUUAUUAGGGGGUAUUUCAUGCCCAGAAAAAAGUUAUUUUAAAAUUGAAUUUUUUUCAUUUAAAAAUUAUUUUAUUCAAUUUAAUCAAUUUUUUACUUUAACAAAGAUGGAAAAAGAGAGAGAUUAUUUUAGGAAAUAAAAAAUUGGGACCAUUUUGGUAAUUGUGUUUUAAAACGGUUUUGAAAAAUAGUUUUUAAGAACAGUUUUUAAAAAUCCUUUUUUGAUGUUUUGUAGAACAAAAGUCUGUUUUGAGAGCUUAAAAUGUUUAUAAUUUUUUUUAACCAAACUUUUAUUAGAACCAAACUUUUGUCCCAAUAGAAAAGAGACAAAAAAACAUACUAGAAUAAAUACCAGAUAUUAGAAUCACGGAUUUGUCAUUUUUCCUCAAAAAAUUUCAUUUUCCUCAUAAACUUCAACAAACGUUUGCAUCUUAAAGGGCUUUAAUCUUUGGAUGAUAACAAACCAUUUAUGCUAAAAUAGUCGUGAAGGACGUAAACAAAAGAGAAAACCAAAAGCAAUGGGGAAAAAAAAAUUCUGAAAACUGAGAUUCCGAGAUGGGAAAAAAAUAGGAAAGUGUAAAAAACUUUAUAUAAAACAAGCCAAAAAAAAGAUUGGGACCAACCUCAACCUUAAUGUUUUGUAACUCCAACAAUGUCUCUCUCACAGUGGUCCACUGGUGGGGCUAGGGUUUUGAAGAAAAAAAUUACAUAGAGAAUAAAACACGACAUGGGAAGUUGGGAAAGUAAACAAAAAUAGUAUAAAAAAUUAGGUUUUAUGUUUAUGUUGAUUGAUGGGGGCUAUUUUGAACAUUAGUUUUGGAAGAAACCCACUUUUAAUAGUAAGUUUACGAAGAAGCCCAUUUUGGCCCAAAACUCGCGAAUGGCUAUCUUAGCAAAAAAAAACUAAGUUUUGGGGCAAAAUAGCCCUUUCAUGUAAAGAAAUAUCAACUUUAGUCCCCUUAUAAAAUUUAUGUUCAAAUUAGCCAUUUUAUUGCCACAUAGAAGCCAUGUAAUAAUUUUUUUUUUUCCAAAUUUAAAUUGAAGCCUCAGUUGCCAAUUGAGGCUUCAGUUAUUUUAUUUUUUUUGCUUUAAAAUUUAAUUAAAAAUAUUAAAUUUUAAAUUAUUAUUGAAAUUUUAAAAAAAUAUACUUUAAUAAUAAAAAUUUACAUAUUUAAACUUAAAGAUCUAAUAUUACUUCAAUAAAGAUAAUUUGAUAAAUAUAAGAAAUAAAUAUUUUAUUUAUCAAUUAAUUAAUAAUCUUAAAAUAAUAAAUUUAUAUGACAUAUAAAUAAAAUAUAAAAUUAUAUAAUUUAUUAAUUUAAGUUAUAUCACAUGUAAUAUUAGGGAGGGACCUUUUUUUUCCAUUAUAUAAAUGUUUAAUGAGUUUUUUUUUUGUGACUUUGAUGAAACUACUAAAAAUUACAUUUUAUAGUAGUCUUUUUCUAAUUAAUUUUAUUAACUAAUUUCAAAAUGUAUCUUUAAGACAUAUAUAUUGUGUGCAUAAAUAAUAGUUUUUUUUUUACGUUAAAUUAUAAUAUAUGCUUUAAAAUAAUUAAAAAAAUCUAUAUAUGGAAACUUAAGAAUAUACUAAUAUUUCAAUAAAAAUAAAUUUAUAAAAAUACAAAUAAAUUAAUAUAUUAAAAAUACAACAAAUUAAAUAUCUUAAAUUAAUAAAUUAUAUAAUUUUAUAUCUUAUUUAGAUUUCAUAUAACUUUAUUAAUUUAUUGAUAAAUAAAAUAUUCAUUUAUUAUUAUAUUUAUUAAUUUAUCUUUAUUGAAGUAAUAUUACAUCUUUAAGUUUAAAUAUAUAAAUUUUUAUUAUUAAAAUAUAUUUUUUUAAUUUCAAUAAUAAUUUAUAAUUUAAUAUUUUUAAUUAAAUUUUAAAGUAAAAAUAAUAAUAAUAAUAAUAAUUAUAACUGAAGCCUCAAUUGCCAAUUGAGAAUUUAGUUAAAAAAUGAAGGCUCAAGGCUGAGACUUCAACUUAAAUUUUGAAAAAAAAAAAAUUAUGACAUGACUCUUAUGUGGCAAUAAAAGGGCUAAUUUGAACAUAAGUUUUGUAAGGGGGCUAAAACUGAUAUUUCUUUACACGAAAGGGCUAUUUUGCCCCAAAACUCAAAAAAGCUCACGUGUUUUGCCAUGUCUAUCCUGAUGACGUGGAUAUCUUAUUUUUAAAAUGGCAGUGUUGUCCCAAGUGGUUUCCUUUCUUUCUUUUUCUUUUUCUUUUUCUAAUAACCUUCCACGUUCACAGAUGAAAAGUUAUUGUUUAAUUAAAUAAUUUAAAUAGUUUAACUUUUAUUAAAUUUUAGCAAUACUUCUAGAAGUUUCUUCUUAAAAGUUUUAUAGAAAAUACAAGAGAAAAAAAAUAAAAACCCACCUUAAAUUUUUUUUUUUGUCAAAAUUAUUAUUUUAAAGUAAUAAUAAUAAUAUAAAAAAUAUCCAUUUAAAAAAGUAAAUUAAUACAUAAAUAUCAAAUAGAGCUUCUAAUUAAAAAUUAAGGAUGUGUUUGGUAAUUGUUUUCGAAAACAAUUUUGAAAAAUAGAUUUUUAGAACAGUUUUUGAAAGCUAUUCUCUGAUUUUUGUAGAACAACCCUGAAGUAUCUAGAGAUCUUGUACACUCAAGAUCUUCUGUUUGAUGACUUUAUCUCAAUCUUAGCACUUUAAAGGAUGGGUCUUUGGAAGAGAGGAUAGUAUGAUUCUCUUCUCUUUAGAGGUGGUUGAAACCCUAACCCUUAAGAGGUAUUUACAGGAUUCUCUAAUUAGGUUUAAGUGACUUAAACUCACUAAAGGCUUGGGUCACUUAAUUUAACCCAAAAUGGGUCCUAAUGAUUAAUUAACCUCACAAAGCCAUCUAAUUAAUUAAUUAAUUAUCUCAAUCCAGAGACUUGUUCACUAACCCAUUUGCAACCUCUCAUAAUUAUACCAAAGUGUUUUUAUGUACAAAAGUGAAUCUAGAGCUAAUCCAAUCCUCAUAAAUAGUGUCAUCAAGGUAUAUGAGUUCGAUGAGGAACCACUAGAGCCCAUAGGAAUACUAGCUUCCUCAAAAUCCAAUUUUGAAGUUGAUUCAAUACCCCAUUACAGAGAAUCAAUUACACUCCAAUACCCAAUAUAAAUAACAACGAGACAAAAACUCAGGUCUGUGACUUACUAUUUACUACAUGCAAACUGUCUAUGAACUAGUGUUCAUAAUAAAACAAGGUAGUGUUAUCACCUAUCAAGAUUACCUCUCCAAUAAUUGAGCCACAUAUCUCACUUAUUAUGCGAUUAAAUGACAUAUUGUAGUUUAUAAAAAGCUUAUGUCAAAUUCCACUUAAGGAAUUAUUGUGCGCCAUAGAUGUCCUAAUCGCAUGUCAUUUGGAUCACCCAAAGGAACACACUAUUACAAUCCCAUGAAAUAUCAUGGUGCCUCUAAUGAGCACACCUAUUACUUUCGGCUUCCAUCAAUAAUGACCCAAUCCAUGGGAAAUAUAUAAUCAACUCAUGAUUUCACUCGUAGGUCAAAGUCAUUACUAACUUUUACACAAGCUCAAUAUCUUUUCAAGGUUGAGAGUCCAUGCAGUAUAGUAGCUUGGUAAAUCAUGAUUAUCAAUAGUUUGCGUUAUGAUUUAUCAUAAGUCUUGUCUAAUGUGCAUCACAUACACUAGUGUUCUCACCAUGAAAAACUCAUCCCGAUGGCCAAGAUAAACUAUCUCUCUAAUUAGGAGGUGGUGUGCUACUACAAUCCAUGAACUAAUUGUGGACAACUUAUUUACUUACAAGAAACUCAUGAUUUGUAUCCUUUAUGUAACUUCUAGUGCACCUAAGUCAUGUACAAUAUAAGAAAUAUAGAUUGAAUGUUCUAAUCAAUGUCAACAUAUCCAAGGGAUAACAAUGGGAUAGUAAAAUCUAAUUUUGUUGUUGUUGGGAACUCUAAAUUACUCCAUUCCCAUGCCUUGGAUCGUAUAAGGUGCAUGCAAAUCUAUCAUAGGCUCUCUAAAUCUAUCACAACGGAUAAGCUUGUAUUCAAUAACAAUAUGGAUAUCAUAGAAAACAUACAUAUGGAGAAUAAAACCACAUACCUUUGAUCCAGAUAUUCCUAGAUCAAUUUCAAUCGAUGUAGAUAACUCUAAAGUCAUAAAGGGUCUCAUAAACACCAUGAUCUUCCUCCCGAUGACUCUUCCUUGUAUCUAGGCACUAAGAUAGUAGACAUCUCAAUGAUGGUUAUGGUUCUCUCUCCAGACUGAAGGGGAGAAUGGUAAGACUUAGAAACCCUAACCGUUAAAGGAGUAUUUAUAGACUUUUUAUUGGGUUUAAGUGACUUAAACCCACCAUGGGUUUGUGACACUUAAUUUAGCCUAAAAAGGUUGCUAAUUGAUUAAUUAACCAUAUAAAGCUUAAUUAAUCAAUUAGUUUAGUUCAAAGAUAUCACUAACUUAUCUCUUAUGCAACCUUACAUAAUUACCAAAACGCCCUUAUGCACAAAAAUGAACUAAAAACCCAUCCAACCAUCAUAAGUCGUACUAAUAAGGAAUAUGAGCUUAGAACGGGGACCAUUGGGACCUAUAGGAGUAUUGACUCCCUCAUAAUCAAAUUUUGAAAUUCACUCAACAUCCCAUUAUAGAGAGUUAAUUGUACUCUAAUAUCCUAAAUAUAUUACAACAAGACCUCAAGUGUUUUGGUUCGUGACCUACUAUCCACUGCAUACAGACUCCCCAUAAACUAGUAUCUAUAAUCUAAUAAGGUAGUGAUAUCACUUAUCAAGAUUACCUCUUAAAUCCUUGAGUUAUAGAUCCUAAUUAUUAUGUGAUUAGUUGACAUACUCUAACUCCAAGAUGCAUAUGUCAAAUUGCGUUAAAGGAAUUAUUGUGGCCAUAAAUUUCAUGAUCGCAUGUUCUUUGGAUCAUCUAAGGGAACACACUAUCUCAAUCCUAUGAGAUAUCAUUGUGUCUCUGUUGAGAAUACUUAUUGUCACCAACCUCCAUCAACAGUAACUCAAUCCAUAGGGAUAUUUGAUCACUUUAAGGUCUUACCCAUAAGUCAAAGCCUCUUAUUGAUUUUGACACAAACUCAAUAUCCUCUUCAAGUUGAGAGUCUAUGUAGUAUAAUAGCUUGGUGAAUCAUGACAAUUGAUAGUCUUGCGUCAUGAUUCACCAUAGGUCAUUUCCAAUGUGCAUCACAUACAUUAGUGCAUUCACCAGGAGAAACCUAUGACUUGCUGGAUUGCCCAAAUCCAUAGACCAACUAUGGACAACUUAUCUACUUACAAGGAACCCAUAACUUGUAUCUUCUGUGCAACUCUUAUUGCACCCAGGUCAUGUACAAUGUAAGAGACAUUGGUUGAAUGCUCAAAUUAAUAGCAAUACACCACAUGGAUAGCAAGGGGAUAGUUAAGUCUAACUUUGUUAUAUCAUGUCUUGCUUUUAAGGGCUAAAUCCUAACAAUUACAUCAUGUCUUGAUUUUAGGAACUCAAUUCCAACAAUAUACUAUCUCAACCCCAUGAUAUUAUGAUACCUUUAUUAAGAAUAUCUAUUACUAUAUGCUUAAACUACCAAUCACUAAAUCCAUAGGAAAUACAUGAUUAUAUUAGUAUCUCACUCGUAAGGUCAAAGUCGCUAAUGAAAAAACUAAUGCAACAUUCUCUUAAAGUUAAGAACUCAUGUAACAUAGUAGUUUGGAGAAGUUAUGUCAACCUGAUAGUCAUUCAAUCAUGACACUUCGUAGAACUUGUACAAUGUAACCAUACACACUAGUACAUAUACCAUGAGAAAACCCAUCUCGAUGACCAAGACUAGUGAUCCUACCAUUUUGGAGGUAAUGAAUUAUGGCUUCUAAGUUGUUAAAGUUUAUGAAUAUCAUCUUGUAAAGAACCCAUGACUUGGAUCUUCCAUACAACUCCUAGUGUAUUCAAGUCAUAUAAAAUAUAAAUGAUAUUGAACUAAAUGCUCGAACAAGUAAAUAAUCAAAUAGAUAAUGCAAAUAAGAUAGAAAAAUUAAUGCCAUAUAAAAUAAUGAAUCAAGUUUGCUAAAUCAUAUCUCUACUUUGAAGAGCUCUAUCCUAAUAGAUACACUAUUCACACCUAGGUAUGAACUUCUAACAAUUGAAUUUCAUGGUAUCAACACGUUAGAGUUGAGAAGGGUUUCAUGUGGAAGGACAUAUGGAGUGUGAAUGCUCUUGUUUUAUCUUAGUUGAUGUAGUGAAAGAUUACCUUUUGAUAUAUGCUUGCUUGGAUUUUUGGUCCAUCUCUAUCAAUGUGUGCUUUUCUGGAUUAGGAUGAUCACUUCUAUUCUUUUUUAUGUAAGUGUCCUAAUAAGGUUACUGAUUUUUAGCAAGGAAAUCCUUUCCAUUGCCUUAGGUUUUGCUUUCCUUAUUCCAUUUGCUUUUGGUGAUGCUAAGAAAACUAAUUACUCAUUCUCUAAUUAAUCCAACUAGAAUAAGAUAACCGGAUUUGUGUUUCACAUAGAAGAUGCUAUGUUACCAUCUACAGAAGGAUAAGGAUCCUCUGAAAAAGUCAUAUAGGAGAUAUGUAUCACUUGAUAACCCUUGGACUUUGUAAAAGGCAAUAAAAGGGGGGUUAGACAACAACAUAGGAUAAAAGAUUAAAAAAACAAAAAACAAAACAAAAGAGGAUAGAUGGGAGGGGAACAUUGUCUUACCUUAAUAACCCUCCUCCAAAGGCAUAAGGGGAAGGUUGUCCUUACUUAACGACCUUCUUAACCUCUUGUAGCUAGGAGACAUCCUUAUUCUCUCAUAUUUUUUUAAGAGCCAAGGAUCUCCAAGACAUCACACCCACCAUUUCCAUUGAGGAAAAUGUAUUAGGUUUUAAGUCUCUUGACCUAGUAGAAGAUAAGAAACUUCUCUAAAUCCACAUGGUAGCUUGGAGUCAUGUUCAUGACCACGACUGUCAUGAGAAGACUCACAAUAUCAGGAUUGAAUUGAUACAACAACACUCUCACAAAACUAAAGAAAAAAUACCUCACUAACGUUUGAAGCAGUAGCCAUAAUCCAAACUUCAAAUGCUCUAUUGGAAUGUAUCUCUUGACAACAUAUGGAGGCUAGAUUAAUUCCUCUGGAAACAACCAUAAAAACUUCACGGAGAAAAGGAUUUCUAAUUGUUGGUUUAACAUAAUAACAUCUCUAAAGGGAGUCAUAGGUGCUAUCUUGAAGACAAAAAAAAGUUAGAUAAAAUGGAGAAAAGUUGCAAGGAUAAAGGAAUAAGGGUAGAAGAAGGCAAGAAAGCAAAAUCACAAAAGUAGAAGAAGAAAAUCAAUAGAGAAACACCUUUUAUAUAGGUUGCCAAGUCAUAACCACUCCAAGAAUCAAGGCAAACACCCUUAUCAUGGCUUGCCUACUAAUCUCUUGGAAAAAGAAUCCAUUUGUCACAUUGACUUUUGAUUUUCCUGCAUGUUAAAUCCUAAAAGCAAGGAAAUAGGAGGUGAGAAGUUGUAGGAAAAAAAAAAUGAAAUGUGGAAACAAAAGGCAUAAGUGGCUAGUUAUCAGCAGAGGUAAUCGGGGGUGCCUAUUGAGUGGUGAAUUGGUCUAUAUCCUUGUACCAUCCAUCCUUAACAAGAAAGAUCUCUAACUCUUAGGAGCAUUUAAUGUGAUGUGAUAGAUAUUAAAUAUGAUUGGAUGAUACUCUCAUGGUUACAAAAUGUUUAAGGCCACACCCUAAACCGAGAAAUCUCUAAUCAUUAUCUAAUAUUGAGGUAUGGACAUUUAAGCACCGAUCAACCAUCGACAUGGUAACCACUCUUAACUAACUUAAACCCUUCCUUUAAAUACCUCUAAAGGCAUCAACAAUAAAGGUAGAAAAGAACCAUUCCAUUUCUCCCUUUGAUUUCUACUUAUCAUAACCUUGUUUUUUUCGGUGCACCAUAUGAUCGUUCGAGGUGUAGUGGUCAUUUUGCACCUACCCGCCCUUACCCCCACCUUGACUACCUUUUGUCCAUCCAUUAUAGUAGCAAGUCGACCUAGUAAUUCCUUUAACAAAUGUCUUCUUCAUUAAGGCAAUAAAGAGGAUACAACAAUAUCUAAUAUCAUUUAACCAAUAUUUUUACCUUAGAUAUAUGUAUCAUUUAAUUUUCAUUAUGGAGUCCAACAAGACUAUGUAUGCUAAAAAGAUUAGCAUGUUUGAUUGACUUGUUAGCACGAGUUAGGAUAAAAGAAGAGAUAACAUAUUAUAUCUUAUGUUCGGUUAACAAUGAGAUAUGAUAAGUUAUAUUCAACUUCAUUUUUUUGUAUCCUCUUUAAAUGAGAUAUAGUAAUUCCUAAGUUGAAAUAUGAAAUAUACAUAUUCCAUGGAUCAUAAGUUUUUUUUCUUUCAUCCAUUUUUUUUUCAUUUUUUAAAAGUAAAAUAUUUUGUAAAAUAAAAAAAAAAUGACUAAAAAAAUUAAAAUUUUAGUUUGGACAAAAAGAAUUUAAAAAAUACAUGUAGAAUAUUUUACUUAUAAGUUUUAAAUAUUUUAAUCAUAAAUAUUAUUAACAAAGAAAUAAAAUUUACUUAAUAAAUUAUAAACUUUAGAAAGAUUUCCAAAUGAUACCAAACAUGUUAGAAAUUUCAUAUAUUUUUUUCAAAGUAGCAAAGAUUGUUAUGAAAAACAUUUUUUAUUUUGAAAAACAAUUAAAACAUUGAAAUUUCAUUCUGUUGUUUAAUCCUUUUUUAAACCAAAUAAGAGAUCAAUCUAAUAUAUCUCAUCUAAUAUAAUAUCGUUUUUUUCUUCACAUAGGGUUUCUUUUCUUUCUUUGUUGAGAAGCUCCUCAUUGUGAAGUCCUGAUCAAUCCCUCAUUUUGCCAAGACUCCAAGACUUGUUAAGAAAGAAAACAGAGCUCAAAAGAAAUUAACUCAAAAUCUCACAUCACAUUGUUGAUAAUAUCAAGUGUUUUUUUUUUUUCAUUGAAAUGAUGAAUUUCAAAUGUUUACAACACCCAUCAAUGUGUGGGGGAGAAGUUCAUGAUUGACAAAGAAAAAUAAUGAGACUUUGAUGGAAGGUAAUGACCGAAACCAAUCUGCUUCUUCAGCUGUAACAAGGGAACAUAUCCAAAGAAGAUGAAUAAGAACCAACCUAAGCUUCCCAACCCCUUAGCGUUGUGGCACACGCAACUCGAUUCACUGCCAAUGUGAAG